GACGAACGCUGGCGGCGUGCCUAAUACAUGCAAGUCGAACGCACUCUCGUUUAGAUUGAAGGAGUUUGCUCCUGAUUGAUAAACAUUUGAGUGAGUGGCGGACGGGUGAGUAACACGUGGGUAACCUGCCCUAAAGUGGGGGAUAACAUUUGGAAACAGAUGCCAAUACCGCAUAAAACCUAACACCGCAUGGUGUAGGGUUGAAAGAUGGUUUCGGCUAUCACUUUAGGAUGGACCCGCGGUGCAUUAGUUAGUUGGUGAGGUAAAGGCUCACCAAGACCGUGAUGCAUAGCCGACCUGAGAGGGUAAUCGGCCACACUGGGACUGAGACACGGCCCAGACUCCUACGGGAGGCAGCAGUAGGGAAUCUUCCACAAUGGACGAAAGUCUGAUGGAGCAACGCCGCGUGAGUGAAGAAGGUUUUCGGAUCGUAAAACUCUGUUGUUGGAGAAGAAUGUAUCUGAUAGUAACUGAUCAGGUAGUGACGGUAUCCAACCAGAAAGCCACGGCUAACUACGUG
rnacentral:rRNA from 1 species